CAAGCUGACUUCCCACCUGGCAGAACAGAAUGCUAAACAGGCCGACCUCUUUAGGAAUCUGGUGAAAGCUACAAACCCUCUCUCUAGAAAAGCACACACAAACAUAACGUCUUGCAAUUCACUUUCAAGAGCCCCAGGUUCCCAUAAAGAGACUCAAGAACCUUGAUAGUAGAGAACAAGUUCCUCAAGGGCCAGGCCCAUCUCCUAGUCCUCCUUCCUUCCUUCCUCCUCCACCUCCUCAGUCCCUCCCUUGAAUGCUUCCCGAUUCUAUUCCGAAAUGCUCAGCCAAGUCUAGACCACAGCCUUGCACUGCAUCUCUCCUAGGGAGGAUGGUGUGACCACAGAGACCCUGGGCCCAGCUGGGGGAGCCCUGAGUUCCCCUGGGUAAAGGCAUCACUCACCACACUGUCUCCCGUGUCAGGAACUGGCACUGUCUUCACCACCAAAUCCAUUCCUGUUGUCUGCCGAGGAACACCAAGAAUGUUAGCACUGAGGGCCCCCAAAGGGAGAGCAUGUUACAGGAGGACACACAAGCACCCCGAUCCCAGGAGGGCUAUCUCCAGUGGAAGGGUUUGUUCUGGACUCAUUCUUGUGAGAAGCAGCUCAGCAUGCAGAAGUCAGAGGGGACCAACUAGUCCUCUCCACCUCCCUGCCCUGAUGUGAGCUGCUACACGUGGUGGCCAAGUUGCUUGUGGCCAUUCUGCUCUGUAGCCAACCUCUCACCCUGGGCUAGUGGAAAAAACGAUCUCCACGUGGCCCUCUGAGCAGCCUUUCAUCAGCUGUCUUAAGGCUUCCCUCAAGGAACUUCGAAGUCACUCAUCAUGGUGAACCGAGCACUUCUCUAUAAGCUGUGGCCAGGUCUUGACACCCCAGCUCACCAGGGUGUAGCUUUUCUGGAAAUGGGCUCCAUCACUGCGGAAGAUCUGUGCCAGGGCGGUCUUGCCCACUGCUGGGUCUCCUGUGAGAUCAGAAAAGAAGAAAAAGAACGCCUUAGUUCUCAUCUGACUUGAGAAUCUCCCGCUGCAGAACAUUAGUCUAGAAACCAAAAACUUCAAUGAGUUUUGAGAGAUGUACUUGCCUCUCACGGGAACUUGUUCUGAGGCCGCGGGCAGGGCACAGGUCCAUGAGACUGAUCUGCAAACCUCACAACAGCCAGAGCACACUUCUGCACGGCUAAGCCUUUUAUCCACAGGAACUGACCCAGAAGGUAACAGAACUUACAGAGGGCUUUGGGGCCCUGGAAACGGAACUGACGCUCUUCCACUGAAACACGCCCUAUGGGGAAAAGCUGUCACUUCCAAACUGGAAUUUACUUUGAAGUCUUGAAGGUAAAGAAGUGUGACUGGCACUGACAGGCAGAGUCACCUGUCCAACUGACCCAACCUGGGUUGACAGCUUCCACCUGAAUACUUUUUUGUGUGGGGCGUGGGGGGUGGAAGGGUCUCUGCAUUUGUGGGAAGCAAGAAGUCUGAGGCUGUGUUCAUCAUUCUGAAAUCUCUUUCCAAAUGCUAUGCUCCAUCUCCAUCGCAGAAUACCUGUCUGUGACCCAAGGAUUCUUCUUCCCAGGGGCCUCUCCACCAAUUCUAUCUGCAAUAGCAGUCACCUCCUCCAAGCUCAUCUCUCACCUACUGGCUUUAUCUCCCUCUCCUCUGCUGGUCAACAGCCCCAGAAACUGGUCCCUCAGAACUAAAGGUUUAUGUCGCAGUUUUCAGUCUGAGACCUGAGCCUUUCACAAGACUGCUGGGAGCCAUUUAAUCGAGCGCUCCUCCCGUGCCCGUCACGGGUGCUGGAAGCUCUCCCUGCCCAUCUUUAAUUCCCUUUGCCCUCCCCAUUUUCCCUCUCAUGGCUCUGCUGAGCCUCCUUUGAUGCUGAUUGUUUCCAUUUGCAGCCUCUUUUCCUCCUGAGUCUUACGUGGACUUGCACUCCACCGUCCAGGUCCUGGCAGAACACGUGCUUUCUGCUUCUCAUCCUCUGGAUCCUUAGCAAAAUCAGCACCGCCCUCCGCGGCUUCCAACUCACAUCACUUGGUACCAUCUCUUCACCUUUGCUUCCCAUUUUACAGUCGGCUUCAACACUCCUUUCCUCGACUUCUCAACAGUCUGCCACUGUUCACUUUUC
ensembl:lncRNA novel transcript, antisense to ANKRD54and IFT27